GACGAACGCUGGCGGCGUGCUUAACACAUGCAAGUCGAACGGAAAGGCCUCUUUCGGGGGGUACUCGAGUGGCGAACGGGUGAGUAACACGUGAGUAACCUGCCCUUGACUUUGGGAUAACUUCAGGAAACUGGGGCUAAUACCGGAUAGGAGCUCCUGCUGCAUGGUGGGGGUUGGAAAGUUUCGGCGGUUGGGGAUGGACUCGCGGCUUAUCAGCUUGUUGGUGGGGUAGUGGCUUACCAAGGCUUUGACGGGUAGCCGGCCUGAGAGGGUGACCGGCCACAUUGGGACUGAGAUACGGCCCAGACUCCUACGGGAGGCAGCAGGGGGGAAUAUUGCACAAUGGGUGGAAGCCUGAUGCAGCAACGCCGUGUGCGGGAUGACGGCCUUCGGGUUGUAAACCGCUUUCGCUCAUGACGAAGCUUUGUGUGACGGUAGUGGGUGAAGAAGCACCGGCUAACUACGUG
rnacentral:rRNA from 1 species